GGGUGGAGUAAAACCAGGAGGGCCUGGGCUUUCCCUGGAGUCGCUGGGCUUUUCCGGAAGGAUUGUGAAGUGAGGAAGGCCUUAGGAAAGACCAGCGAAGAAAGAGGGUGUCAGUGAGUGGGCGAGUGGUGACGGAGGGGAGGGAGAAGGGGAGAUGGAAGCAAAGGAAGAAAAGUAGCAGAGAGGAAGGAGGAGACCCAGGGAAGAGCAAUGCUACAGGAGACAAGCGUGUGGAGGGUUUUCUAAAAGGAGCUGACGAAACCUAGCGGCUGAGAUUCUGGAAAUAAUGACGGAACGUUUCGUCUGGAACUGGCUAUAGAGUUUCACUCUUAUUGCCCAGGCUGGAGUACAGUGGCACAAUCUUGGCUCACUGCAACUUCUGCCUCCUGGGUUCAAGCAAUUCUCCUGCCUUAGCCUCCCGAGUAGCUGGGAUUACAGGCACCUGCCACCACCCCUGGCUAAUUUUUCACUGCGCAGGGCCAAGGAAAGUACCUGGACCAUGUGUGUUGAAGAAAUGAAGAUGGAGGUGGCACUGGAGUUCUUUAGCAAUGCUAGAGGCACAGGACCUGGGAGCCAGGAUUUACAGGCUGGGUAGCACUCACACCCUUGACUGCAGCUCAGAAUCAGCUGGGGUGCUUUUGAGAGAAAUGAUUCCUAGGCUCCAGCUCAUACCACUUAUGGGUCUAGAAAUCUGUACAGAUGCUCCU
rnacentral:lncRNA from 1 species